AUACAGCAGAGAGCAGCAUCAGAUGAGCGGAAUGCUACUGUUCUGUUCUGGGUAACAACAGAUCACAGAGCAGUAGUCUGAAUGAAGCAUGUAUGUGGAUCGAGCAUAAACAGAAUCUCAAAACAGACAUAUGCAGACUCCAGAUAUCACAUAUGAAAAGAAUGGGGAGAUGCAAGAGACUGAAUGGAGAAGAUAAAUAAGGGGUAUAGCACCUUUACAAGGCACUUCUUAACAAGCAAUCUGAGAGAGGAAAAAAUCAGUUGCUCAAGCAAUCAUGCCUCAUUUCUUGGAUUGGUUUGUGCCAAUGUAUCUGAUGAUCUCCAUUCUUAUCUUGGUGGGCUUUGGAGCUUGCAUAUACUACUUUGAGCCAGGACUUCAGGAAGCGCACAAGUGGCGGACACAAAGGCCAAUCAUGGAACGAGACCUUCGGAAAACACUGAUGAUACGAGACAACCUGGCA